rnacentral:lncRNA from 1 species
UGUAAAACUUGGGAACCUUUCAGCGUUAAGUCUGAGGACCCCUAGCAUAUCUAUUCCUCUAGAAUAGGGGUCUGAUCAUAAGUUCCUCCCCCUCCGACCCUUAUACCUUGAUCUCCAUCAACUCCAUUGAGCCUCCCCACCCUCCUGUAACUUGCCGCAAGUUUCUGGGCUCAAACUUGCAAGUGUUGCUGUUGAAAUAACCGUCUAUGCUAACCCAUGCAUUGCAUUCGUGUAGAGCUGUGUCUCACCGACGGCUACUACGAGCUGCACCCGGCGCAAGAAGAUGACGGUGUAGCUGAGCUCCUGCUUCCAGAAGCCGAAGCUGCCCAAGAAGACGAGCAGUUCCCUUCCUCCUUGAUCGAAGGCAAGCCCCGGAUGCAUAAAUUUCCCCUAUGUUUUACCAGACUUGCGCAUGCCUUCUUUAACAUGCUUGUGCAUUUACGUAUAGGAGUUGUUUGAAACCAUAGCUGCAUAACUUAGCUCCCUUGAUCUGAACACUAGCUGUUGGACCGAGUAGAUGCUUUGCUUAAAUAGGAAACGGUAAAAGCCGAGUGAUUCCCUGUCACUCGCGAGUUGUAAGAGUUGGAUGUUUACUCUUCUGUCACAACUAUAAGGACGAUGGACGGGGCAGGGUUUUGGGUAACUCUUUGGUGGUCGGUUGGUCGCCCCGUCUGUCUAUGAAACUUGCUAAGGCCCGACAAUGGUGGUGUUCGUGAUCAAGUGUUUGAAAGUACUAAUCUCAUACCUAGUAUGGGAUGGGGAAGCCUAGUACCUGAUUGAAGUAGGGCGUGGCUUAUACCCCUGCUGUCCCUGGAACGAGGUUCCCAUGGUGCAUCAUGUGGGUGCAAGUGCGGUCACAGUACGGCAGAGGCCGGGACUGUGGAGCAUUGCAUGCCAAGGGAAGUUUGGACCUGACACGCGCCUGGGAAUUGAUGGGGACGGCCGACACAGGAAGCGACCCUCGUGGUGCGCGGAUGUCGUGAGAUUAGGUGCGCCAUGCGGGGUUAAGAAACUCGAAUCGAUUCGUCUGCCUCUCACAGUUUGAGACUACUUGAUCGCUAUGUCACCCUGAGUAAUUAAGGAAUCUGAUGAUGACAUGGUCGUGUUGAUGAUGUAUAUACCUUUGGUUGGUUCUAUGCUUGCUUAGAAUAGGUUGCAAACUUAGACUGGAUAAUGAACUUAGAACCGGAGCUAAAACUUGAAAGUAGGGAUACACUUAGCACUUUUGGCAAACAAACCCCUCAGCUAAAAAGCCUCGCAUGUCUAGAAGAGGUAGUUUAGCGCGUUCCCUGUCGGUUAAGUCUUGUUGAGCUUAGUAGCUCAGCCUUGUUGUGGCUCUUCUUUUCAGGUGAAGUUGCUACCUCUGAGCCUCCUUCUGCUGGUACUUGGCCGCCCCAACUCCCUCCGGGUUGGACAGUUGAGUGGGAUCCCUCCUCGGACGGCGAGGAGAGGGAUCAGUGAUGUCCCGGUUGGCCUCACCAGGGAUGUCCGACCCCAACGAGUUCACUUCCGCUAGUUGCUUUACCUUUUGUUGUUGUUUUUUUGCUGAACCUUGUAAAACUUUGAUGUUGUUUUUAUGGCCAAACUAAAUGGUUAAUCUGUUAACUCAGUGGACUUGUUAUAUUCUUUGGAACCGCUCACCUUCGUGUGGGUUUGCUA